rnacentral:rRNA from 1 species
CGAGCCCUACGGGAGGCAGCAGUGGGGGAUAUUGGACAAUGGGGGAGACCCUGAUCCAGCGAUGCCGCGUGAGGGAAGAAGGUUUUCGGAUUGUAAACCUCUGUGGAGGGGGACGAUAAUGACGGUACCCCUUUAGGAAGCCACGGCUAACUACGUGCCAGCAGCCGCGGUAAUACGUAGGUGGCGAGCGUUGUCCGGAAUUACUGGGUGUAAAGGGAGUGUAGGCGGGAAAGCAAGUCAGAAGUGAAAACUAUGGGCUUAACCCAUAGCCUGCUUUUGAAACCGUUUUUCUUUAGUGAAGUAGG